rnacentral:tRNA from 1 species
ACCCCUGUAGCCCAACAGGAAGAGGCGCUAGACUUAGGAUCUAGAUGUUGCUGGUUCGAUUCCAGUCAGGGGUA